AAGACUGUCUCUUUCUCAAGACCCCGAAUUUCACUUCCCCGUGAAGAGGCGAGGAUAAAAUCGCUAGACGAGAAGACCCUGUCGAGCUUAAGCAAAACCCAAGUCCAUAAUUUAUUUAACCUAGUCUAAUUUAUAACCAUAUCUAGUGUCAAAUUCUUAUUUUUCUUGGGGGAGCUUUGGUUGGGGCAACCGCGGAGUAAAAUAACCCUCCGCUCAUAAGAUAUGAUAAAAAGAGAAACAACUCUAAAACCAAAAUGAAACUAGUGAUCCACUAAGGUGAUCAAAGGAACAAGUUACCGCAGGGAUAACAGCGUCAUCUUUUCUGAGAGUUCACAUUGACGAAAAGGUUUGCGACCUCGAUGUUGGAUCGGGACAUCCUAAGGGUGCAGAAGCUUUUAAGGGUUGGUCUGUUCGACCAUUAAAGUCCU
rnacentral:rRNA from 1 species